rnacentral:tRNA from 1 species
GCGGGCGUAGCGUAGUCUGGCUUAACGCACCUCCUUGUCAAGGAGGGGAUCGCCGGUUCGAAUCCGGUCGCCCGCG